rnacentral:rRNA from 1 species
GGAGGAAAGUAGGGGAUCGCAAGACCUUGCGCUCUUUGAGCGGCCGAUGUCUGAUUAGCUAGUUGGUGAGGUAAAGGCUUACCAAGGCGACGAUCAGUAGCUGGUCUGAGAGGACGACCAGCCACACUGGGACUGAGACACGGCCCAGACUCCUACGGGAGGCAGCAGUGGGGAAUUUUGGACAAUGGGGGAAACCCUGAUCCAGCCAUGCCGCGUGAGUGAAGAAGGCCUUCGGGUUGUAAAGCUCUUUCAGCCGGAACGAAACGGUCACGGCUAAUACCUGUGAUCACUGACGGUACCGGAAGAAGAAGCACCGGCUAACUACGUGCCAGCAGCCGCGGUAAUACGUAGGGUGCAAGCGUUAAUCGGAAUUACUGGGCGUAAAGCGUGCGCAGGCGGUUUUGUAAGUCAGAUGUGAAAUCCCCGGGCUUAACCUGGGAACUGCGUUUGAAACUACAAAGCUAG